ACGGAGGAUGCAAGCGUUAUCCGGAUUCAUUGGGUUUAAAGGGUGCGCAGGCGGGUUUGUAAGUCAGUGGUGAAAUACUGCCGCUUAACGGUAGGAUUGCCAUUGAUACUGCAAAUCUUGAGUAUGGUUGAGGUAGGCGGAAUGUGCAGUGUAGCGGUGAAAUGCAUAGAUAUUGUACAGAACGCCGAUUGCGAAGGCAGCUUACUAAGCCAUUACUGACGCUGAGGCACGAAAGCGUGGGGAUCGAACAGGAUUAGAUACCCUGGUAGUCCACGCCGUAAACGAUGUUCACUCGCUGUUUGCGAUAAACAGCAAGCGGCUAAGCGAAAGCGUUAAGUGAACCACCUGGGGAGUACGAUCGCAAGGUUG
rnacentral:rRNA from 1 species